AUUGAACGCUGGCGGUAUGCUUAACACAUGCAAGUCGAACGGUAACAGGCUUUCGGGCGCUGACGAGUGGCGGACGGGUGAGUAACGCGUAGGAAUCUGCCUUAUAGUGGGGGACAACGUGGGGAAACCCACGCUAAUACCGCAUACGCCCUACGGGGGAAAGCGGGGGAUCUUAGGACCUCGCGCUAUGAGAUGAGCCUGCGUUAGAUUAGCUAGUUGGUAGGGUAAAGGCCUACCAAGGCGACGAUCUAUAGCUGGUCUGAGAGGACGAUCAGCCACACUGGGACUGAGACACGGCCCAGACUCCUACGGGAGGCAGCAGUGGGGAAUAUUGGACAAUGGGCGCAAGCCUGAUCCAGCAAUACCGCGUGUGUGAAGAAGGCCCUAGGGUUGUAAACUGCUUUUGUACGGAACGAAAGACUCCUUCUAAUAAAGGGGUCCAUGACGGUACCGUAAGAAUAAGCACGGCUAACUACGUGCCAGCAGCCGACGGUAAAACGUAGCGUG
rnacentral:rRNA from 1 species